GGAAGGAUCAAUAGCAAAUUUGAGAUAUUGUGUUUGUAUUUAUAUGAAUAUAUGCUAUAUGUUUGUAUCUAUAUGAAUAUAUUCAUCCAUAUCACAUUAGUUCUAGUGUGUGUCUUGCAGAUUGCAUUACAUGCACUAAACAUAUAAACAAAUGUACUUGACAGUGUAGAACAACGACAGAAACUUGCAACAAUGGAUCUCUAGGCUCUUGCAGCGAUGAAGAACGCAGUAAAGUGCGAAAAGCGAUGCGAUUUGCACGAACCUGUGAGUCAUCAAGUCUUUGAACGCAAAUGGCACUCUUGUAAAAGAGUAUGAUUGUUAGAGGAUGUGUACAGAAGAUUAAGUAUGGGAUACUUAGGGAUGAGUUUCUAUAGAGAGGGGGGUGCAUGUAUUGUAUGCGUGUAAACGACGUGCACAUAUGUGCAUAUGCCCUCACUAUAGUCACUUGGAAUUGAUAUUGUAGCUUUGCAAAGCAAACAUGUGCUAAACACUCAUGGAUGGGUUUGCGAGUGGCAUAUAUAUAUGGUUUAUGGUUGAUUGAUUGAUUUUACAAGUCAGAUGUGUAUCUAUAUAUCAGAUCUAUAUCAAUAAUACCAACAAAUAAGCCUUACAUCACCAUCUCUAAUCAUCAAGACUACCCGCUGAACUUAAGCAUAUCAAUAAGCGGAGGAAAAGAAACUAACAAGGAUUCCCCUAGUAACGGCGAGUGAAGCGGGACCAGCUCAAAUUUAGAAUCUGGCCAAUGGCCCGAAUUGUAAGCUAAAGAGCAGCUAUGGCAGGCUUGUGGGGGUGCUCAAGUCUCUUGGAAAAGGGCAUCGCAGAGGGUGACAAUCCCGUGGGAGCACACGCACAAGGCGGCAGAGGCGGCAUCUACGAGUCGAGUUGUUUGGGAGUGCAGCUCAAAAGGGGUGGUAAAUUUCAUCCAAGGCUAAAUAGUGGCAAGAGACCGAUAGCAAACAAGUACCGUGAGGGAAAGAUGAAAAGCACCUUGAAAAGGGAGUGAAAAGUGCGUGAAAUUGUUACAAGGGAAGCGCUUAAAGGCAGACGGUGCGGUGAUAUAUUUGUAUGUUGAAUAUAUUUAUAUCACCGCAUGGUCAGGGCACAUUGAUGACUUUGGAAAAUGGGCAGGAUGAUGUGGCGGCUUGCCUCUGCAUUCAUUCAGCACGAUGCAGAGUGGACGAUGUGUGUCACACUUCAAAUAUGCGGUUGGAGAUUGAAAAGGUUGGAGGACUAAACACACAGUGAUUGGUUCGCUGAUCAAUCAAGAUGCAAGAUGCAGAAAGAUUAUGUCCUGACACAAUGGCUUUAAACGACCCGUCUUGAAACACGGACCAAGGAGUCUAACAUGCAUGCGAGUAUUUGGGUGACAAACCCACGUGCGAAAUGAAAGUGAAACAGAUUUGAGGUUAGCAUAUAGUAAAAUAUAUACCACCCGCAAAAUCAGCCAAUCAUCUAUCGAUCGAUACGCGCUAGAGCAUGCCUGUUGGGACCCGAAAGAUGGUGAACUAUGCCUGGAUAGGAUGAAGCCAGCGGAAACACUGGUGGAGGUCCGAAGCCGUUCUGACGUGCAAAUCGAUGGUCAAAUCUGGGCAUAGGGGCGAAAGACUAAUCGAACCAUCUAGUAGCUGGUUCCCUC
rnacentral:misc_RNA from 1 species